GACGUAGGGCGCGAGCGUUGUCCGGAUUUAUUGGGCGUAAAGAGCUCGUAGGCGGCUUGUUGCGUCGACCGUGAAAACCCGGGGCUCAACUUCGGGCUUGCGGUCGAUACGGGCGGGCUAGAGUUCGGUAGGGGAGACUGGAAUUCCUGGUGUAGCGGUGAAAUGCGCAGAUAUCAGGAGGAACACCAAUAGCGAAGGCAGCUCGCUGGGACGUUACUGACGCUGAGGCGCGAAAGCGUGGGGAGCGAACAGG
rnacentral:rRNA from 1 species